AUUGAACGCUGGCGGCGUGCCUUACACAUGCAAGUCGAACGGUAACGGGCCUUCGGGUGCCGACGAGUGGCGAACGGGUGAGUAAUACAUCGGAACGUGCCCGAUCGUGGGGGGUAACGAGGCGAAAGCUUUGCUAAUACCGCAUACGAUCUACGUGUGACAGCAGGGGACCGCAAGGCCUUGCGCGGACGGAGCGGGCGAUGGCGGAUUAGGUAGUGGGUGGGAUAAAAGCUUACCAAGCCGCCGAUCUGUAGCUGGUCUGUGAGGAGGAUCAUCCACACUGGGACUGAGACACGGCCCAGACUCCUACGGGAGGCAGCAGUGGGGAAUGUUGGACAAAGGGCGCAAGCCUGAUCCAGCCAUGCCGCGUGCAGGAUGAAGGCCUUCGGGUUGUAAACUGCUUUUGUACGGAACGAAAAGCCUUCUUUUAAUACAGGAGGGUCAUGACGGUACCGGAAGAAUAAGCACCGGCUAACUACGUG
rnacentral:rRNA from 1 species